rnacentral:tRNA from 1 species
AGGGGCUUAGGAUAAACUAAACCAGAGUCCUUCAAAGCCUCAAAUGAGGGUUAAACCCCCUCAGCCCCUG